CACUAGGUGCCAUUAGGCACCACAUAAGCGGAAUAGUAAAUAAAUA
rfam:Nelumbo nucifera unplaced genomic scaffold scaffold00123, whole genome shotgun sequence